UCACUCCCUCCAUCGCCGAGCCGCUGCAGCAGGGGGAGGUGUCUGGGCUCAGUCAGGAGCAGCUGUCCCUCCAGCAGAAUGGGUCCGUCCCCUCCUCAGGCGUGCUGACUGUAUCCUGGAGCCCCUGGAGCCUGGACAGAGAGGGGCUGAAGCUGUUGUCUAUCGGCCUGGCUGUGGUGGCUAUCCUAGUGGUCUUCAUGUGGGAGAAACUCCACUGAGACCGAGGGGCUGGAAGACAUGGACCUGGGCCUGUAUUUAUAGAGCGUCUCGGAGGAAGAGUGCUGAUCCAGGAUCAGUGCCUUCCUUUACAAUCAUCCUUAUGUUCUACAAGGCAAAACUGAUCAGCAUUCAUACACCGAGACUCUUUAUGAAUAAGGGACCUGGAUCAAAUACAUAUGGAAAUUAUUUCCAAGUACUUUGUACUGGGCAAACUAAAUCAAGCGUAGCUCGAGUAUUUGAAAGAAUUUGACAUAUUUAUUUGGCCCUAUAGGUUUGGUUGAAAUGGGUUUUGGAUGGGUCCUAGUUUAGCUUUAUAUGAGGAAAAACUUCUCAGUCUUGGACAAAGACGGAUGGAUUCUGGAGCUGCAUGUGAGAGUUAGGAAGAGGAGACGAGGGAAGGAAACAAGGACAGGAGAUAAGGAGAGGACAGGUUAAAGACAUGUUGUGUGAUACUCUGAUUUAAGAUGGUGGAUAUCUUUAAUUAAAAGUAUUUAUUUUGACCACAAUGAAACAGACACAGAGGAACAGGUAUAUUUGUUGGUAAUGAGUUUAGAUCACAGUAAAAGCCCUCUCUGUGUCUGUCCUACUGUCGUACCACAUUGUGAUUGUUUAUCCAAACAUUUUUUUGUUUUUUUUUUCUCUCGUGUUUCUCUAUUUGUAUUUCUGCUUUUAUGGUUUUCCAUUUUAACGUCAGUCUACUACUGAGUAGAUGGAAGACCCCUUUGUGCCCUGGUAUGAAGUAGUUAGGGAACAGGGUGCUAUUUGGGAUGCUGUGAUGUUACAGUGUGAAACUGCAUGUUGUUUGGUUCUAUUCAUGUACAUCUCAGCAGUGGAUCAUCUCCUAUCCCAGGGGACUUAUUGUCUGGCCUAGAUCUCUGUCUGGCCUAGAUCCCUGUCUGGCCUAGAUCCCUGUAUGCCUCUCAAAUGGCACCCUUUUCCCUUUAUACUUUUCACCAGGACCCUAUAGGGUAGUAGUGCACUACUUUUCACCAGGACCUAUGGGGGGGAGGGAGGGGUCUGGCCAAAGGUUGUGCACUAUAUAGAGAAUAGAGUGUCAUUUGGGACACAGUCUUGACAGUGUUUUCUCAUCUUUGUUUGCAGGGUAAAGCUAACCUUAAUAAACGUUAAUAAACCACAA